rnacentral:rRNA from 1 species
GACGAACGCUGGCGGCGUGCUUAACACAUGCAAGUCGAACGGAAAGGCCCUGCUUUUGUGGGGUGCUCGAGUUGCGAACGGGUGAGUAACACGUGAGUAACCUGCCCUUGACUUUGGGAUAACUUCAGGAAACUGGGGCUAAUACCGGAUAGGAGCUCCCGCUGCAUGGUGGGGGUUGGAAAGUUUCGGCGGUUGGGGAUGGACUCGCGGCUUAUCAGCUUGUUGGUGGGGUAGUGGCUUACCAAGGCCUUGACGGGUAGCCGGCCUGAUAGGGUGACCGGACACGUUAGGAUUGGGAUACGACACAGACUCGUACGGGAGGCAGCAGUGGGGAGUAUUGCACAAUGGGCGGAAGCCUGACGCAGCACCGCCGCGUGCGGGAUGACGGCCUUCGGUUUGUAAACCGCUUUCGCCUGUGACGAAGCGUGAGUGACGGUAAUGGGUAAAGAAGCUCCGGCUAACUACGUG